rnacentral:rRNA from 1 species
GACGAACGCUGGCGGCGUGCUUAACACAUGCAAGUCGAACGGAAAGGCCCUGCUUUUGUGGGGUGCUCGAGUGGCGAACGGGUGAGUAACACGUGAGUAACCUGCCCUUGACUUUGGGAUAACUUCAGGAAACUGGGGCUAAUACCGGAUAGGAGCUCCUGCUGCAUGGUGGGGGUUGGAAAGUUUCGGCGGUUGGGGAUGGACUCGCGGCUUAUCAGCUUGUUGGUGGGGUAGUGGCUUACCAAGGCUUUGACGGGUAGCCGGCCUGAGAGGGUGAACGGCCACAUUGGGACUGAGAUACGGACCAGACUCCUACGGGAGGCAGCAGUGGAGAAUAUUGCACAAUGGGCGGAAGCCUGAUGCAGCAACGCCGCGUGCGGAAUGACGGCCUUCGGGUUGUAAACCGCUUUCGCCUGUGACGAAGCGUGAGUGACGGUAAUGGAUAAAGAAGCACCGGCUAACUACGUG